rnacentral:rRNA from 1 species
UACAGAGGUCCCAAGCGUUGUUCGGAUUCACUGGGCGUAAAGGGUGCGUAGGUGGUUGGGUAAGUCUGAUGUGAAAUCCCGCAGCUUAACUGCGGAAUGGCAUUGGAUACUAUUCGGCUAGAGGGUUGGAGGGGGGACUGGAAUUCUCGGUGUAGCAGUGAAAUGCGUAGAUAUCGAGAGGAACACCAGUGGCGAAGGCGAGUCCCUGGACAACUCCUGACGCUGAGGCACGAAAGCUAGGGGAGCAAACAGG